AGCGAACGCUGGCGGCAGGCCUAACACAUGCAAGUCGAACGAACCUUUCGGGGUUAGUGGCGGACGGGUGAGUAACACGUGGGAACGUGCCUUUAGGUUCGGAAUAACUCAGGGAAACUUGUGCUAAUACCGAAUGUGCCCUUCGGGGGAAAGAUUUAUCGCCUUUAGAGCGGCCCGCGUCUGAUUAGCUAGUUGGUUGAGGUAAUGGCUCACCAAGGCGACGAUCAGUAGCUGGUCUGAGAGGAUGAUCAGCCACAUUGGGACUGAGACACGGCCCAAACCCCGCCGGGAGCGAGCAGGGGGGAAUUUUGCGCAAGGGGGGAAAACUUAACACAGCCUUCCCGGGUGAAUAGUGAAGGGCUAAGGAUUGAAAAAUUCUUUCCCAGGGGAGGGUAAGGAGGGGCCCCGGAGAAGAGGCCCGGGCAAACCUGGG
rnacentral:rRNA from 1 species